rnacentral:rRNA from 1 species
UAACCUGCUAAAUAGUUGGACUAACCUUGUGUUGGUUUCGACUUCUUAGAGGGACUAUUUGUGUUUAACAGAUGGAAGUUUGAGGCAAUAACAGGUCUGUGAUGCCCUUAGAUGUUCUGGGCCGCACGCGCGCUACACUGAUAAAGUCAACGAGUAUAUAACCUUGGCCGGAAGGUCUGGGUAAUCUUUUGAAACUUUAUCGUGCUGGGGAUUGACCAUUGUAAUUAUUGGUCAUCAACGAGGAAUUCCUAGUAAGCGCAAGUCAUCAGCUUGCGUUGAUUACGUCCCUGCCCUUUGUACACACCGCCCGUCGCU